UCAUGGAUGGUGUGCCCCAGAAGGACAAUUUCAAGCCUUUGAAGUCGAUGGGGAAGGUGGAUCUCCUCAGUAGAGGAAUCUCCGCCACUGGGUCUUCAACAUCCAGAAGCAAAAUUGUGAGUGAGAUUUUAGCGAUUUCCAUCUUGUUAUUUACUCAAAAACUCCUCUCUGGUAGCAAAAAUAACUUCUUAGGGUUCAUCGUCGCUGUCAUCUUGUGCACUGAUCUUGGGGGAAUUUGUGGGCGAGCUCAGCUAUUUCAUACCGCCACGACGCCAUCCGGAGAUCUAAAUCUGCAGCUUGGAGAUUUCGUUUCAGGCGAUGUUUCUUACUCCUUUUCACUUUCUAUUUUGAUUUCAUCCAUUCGUUUUGAUCCAUGUGCUUUUGAUUGAGGAAAGUGGCGAUGGGUGCGAGCGAAAUGCUUGUCAAAAUCUAUCCUCAGGAACUCAGGUUCACUUUGGACGUUAAUAAUAUAGAGAAUCAUCUACCAAGAUCAACAUGCGAUUUCAUAGUUACUACACAAGCAUCAAAGGACACCCCAUCUAAUAUGCAGUUAAAAGAUAAGUUCCUGAUUUAGACCACAGUUGUUCCUAUGGUUGUAUGGAUGAGGACAUCAUUCCAAGUUUUUUCUGAAAAGAAACUGGCAGGAUCUGGCCUUUAAAACUCUUGAUUCAGCUUACCCUAUUGUAACUGUCAAGAGUGAGCUAAUUAAGGAAGUUCUUAUGGCGAGAGAAACUUCUGUUUCCAACUAUCAAGAGUGAGCUAUUCUGGACUGUACACACUUAACAAUGAUAGUUUUUCAUUUUGGCUGAAAAGAGAGUCCGCAGACCCUGCAUGGUUUACCUCCAUGUUUCUUGCCAAAUCCUUGGCUAUGACAUUGGUGUUAGUGGCUGGACUACUGGUCUUGCCCUUGGGAACAAAUCCAAGGGUAUUGUGCACACCACUCACAGGAACAUUGGCAUCACCCUCUUCACUCUUUGCACUUUACAAGUCGACAAUCAUGAAUUCUGGUUCAUGGGGUUUCUGAACUACGACAUUGCUGUGCACCAUAUGUACGAAGCUUUGUGCUAUUUGCAAAAGGAAGCAUCGCCGCAACGAUAGAUCUAGAUGUUUCAACCGUGUAACUUUGGUACUCGGCAAUAGACUUAGGGUCUUUCUUUAGUUCAUGUCAAUAUUUAUAAUGUUGUUUAGAGAAA